AUAUCCUUGGAGCUGAAGGAAGGUAAGAAGCAAAAUAACACCAGAGUUCCAUAAAGCAUGAAUUGUGAUUGGGGUUAGGAGGUUUCGCGUUUGAGCAUAAGAAAAACCCAGAGCAGUCCCAAGAACAAACAACUGAGGAAAUUGUCCAGGAGUGAGAUGUGCAAGAGCAAAUACAGCACCACUAAUAACCGCUGCAAGCGGUGUAGGUACCCACUUAGUCAGAGA
rnacentral:misc_RNA from 1 species